rnacentral:misc_RNA from 1 species
UUUCCGUAGGUGAACCUGCGGAAGGAUCAUUAAAAAAUUGGACUCCAUUGGUGAGUUCAUUAAUAAUCCCUACCCUUUGUGAAUUUGUUUGUUUGAAUAAUUUUUUUUCCAAAAAAGUUAUUGAAUGUCUUUCCUUGUUUUGGUGGAGCUUGUAAAGUGAAACCAGGCAGGGGAAUGGCAAACAAUAAUUAUUUUUGAAAAAGACCUUUUUUUAAAAUUAAACUUUUUGUAUUCAUUUGUCUAAAUUAAUUUUAUAAUAUAAAAACAACUUUUGACAAUGGAUCUCUUGGUUCUCGCAACGAUGAAGAACGCAGCAAAAUGCGAUAAGUAGUGUGAAUUGCAGAAUACGUGAAUCAUCGAAUCUUCGAACGCAUAUUGCACUUUUUUAGUUUACUAAAAAGUAUGUCUGUUUGAGUAUCAGCAAAAUAUUCUCAUAAAAACUUUUUGUUUUUAUGGUUAUGAGUGUUUUACAACGAUACAAGUUGUUUCACUUUAAAUUUUUUUUAAAAUUUGAAUUUUUCUAAUUUUAAAAUAAAUUGGAUAAAAUUUUCCCGUAAAAAAGGAAUAACCUAAACAAUUUUAAUUUUUGAUUAGAAUUCUUCAAUUAUAAAGGAAAAUUUAACUAAAUAACUUGAUCUCAAAUCAGAUAAGAGUACCCGCUGAACUUAAGCAUAUCAAUAAGCGGAGGAAAAGAAACUAACAAGGAUUCCCUUAGUAACGGCGAGUGAAGCGGGAAGAGCUCAAAUUUGAAAUCUUCAAGGUUUUACCUUGACGAAUUGUAGUUUAAAGAAGUGUUUUCUGUUGAAGUUUUGGUAAAAGUUCUUUGGAAUAGGACAUCAUAGAGGGUGAGAAUCCCGUAUUUGACCAUUAUUUUCAGCUGUGUGAUACACUUUCAAAGAGUCGGAUUGUUUGGGAAUGCAGUCCAAAAUGGGUGGUAAAUUUCAUCUAAAGCUAAAUAUUGGCGAGAGACCGAUAGCGAACAAGUACCGUGAGGGAAAGAUGAAAAGAACUUUGAAAAGAGAGUUAAACAGUACGUGAAAUUGUCAAAAGGGAAGCGUUUGACACCAGUGUUGUUUUCUCGAAAAUCAAUUAAAAAAGUUGGAUUUUGUGUUGUAUUGACCUUAACAGCUUGCUUCACUCUUUUCUUGCUUUUUUUAAUGCACUUUUCGUUUAACAAGUCAACAUCAGUUUCUUUUGUUGUAAAAGGGUCAUUGGAAGGUGGCUUUCUCUUCGGAGAAAGUGUUUAUAGCCUUUGAUCUCUGCAAUCGGAGAGACUGAGGUCUGCAGCGUAGAUCCUUCGGGGUUAGAUACAUUUGUGCUAAGCUACAGCUUUUCAUAGACAACUUGUUGACUAUGUUUAGUCUUGUAACUUACCCGCUUAUGCUAUUUUACCUACGCUUAGGAUGUUG